AAUAAGUUUAUUUUUUAGUUUUAAGAUACAGCGUUUGGCUCUUCGUCUUAUUUGAAUUUUUUUGCGAUUAAUAUUUUUAUUGUUAUUAAAUGAUAAAACAUGAAUAAUACUUUACGCGUGACUAAUUUUUUAAAUUUUUUUAAAAAAAUUUAUAAUAAAAUAAAUAGUCAAACGUUCUACACAAAAUUG
rnacentral:pre_miRNA from 1 species